CAUACAAUAAGUUAAAAAUAUGAGUACAGCCUGGAAAGACUGGAGAAUACUUGACAAGAUGACUAAAAUUAUUGUCUCGAGUAUAAUUCUUAUCAGUCUUAAAGCUGCAGUGAUCUCUUCCCUCAACAUCCAGCAAUCACCACCACAUCUAAUAAUGACACCUGAGCAGAAAGAAGCAAGGCUCAACUGCUGGCAUGGUGAUACCAGCUAUCCCUACAUGUACUGGUAUCAACAAAAGACAGUCAGUGACUCUAUUGAGCUCAUUGGAAUGCUUGUGUAUGAAAAACCCACUCCUGAGGAGAAGUUUAAAUCACGAUUCAACAUUUCAGGACACACUAAAGAGGAUGUGUUUCUGCUCAUAUCCAGUAUAACUCCUGAGGACAGUGCAGUAUAUUUCUGUGCUGCUAGUAAGCACAGCCACACACCUUCCCUCUCUGUUUAA